CGCAUAAACUUGAAGAAGAGUAGUUUAGUAGGGUCAGCCGAUCCUACUGAUCUACUCCACUUCAAGUUUGGGCCC
rfam:Haemonchus placei strain MHpl1 genome assembly, scaffold: HPLM_scaffold0001394